AAAGACCUUGUUGCCUGUACUGAUGCAUCCACCAAAUGCACAACAGGGCACUGCGCAGGCUGUGAGAGUUCAGCAAGCAGUCGGGUACCACAAAAUUAGCUACUGCUUAUCAGCAGUUCAUAAGCCUUGGCUCAUAAGGCUUGUGCUGUAGGAUCUCAUCAACUGUCCCCAGAGGCAGCAGAGGGAAACAUCACAUUCUUGAGGCAAAGAAGAAAACGUAACUGAUUUUCCUUUGAAGUUGGCUGCUAAUGGACAAGCCAAGAGACCAGGAGCUGACCCCAAAGCCAACAGUAGAUAUUGAACGACUCCACUUCCUUCUGCACUGCCAUCUCCUGGGAUACAAUUUUCAGCAGUUACAAGUGUCAGAAGACACAAGACACUGCUUUAACCAGAAGCCACAGAAGAAUACUAAGUUAUUCCAAGUUCUGCAAGUCUUACCCCCCUUACAAAUGCCUCUACUAUUAAGAAAGUAUUUACAAGAGAAGCCAGAAAUACACCUAGAGAAUUUCCUUGAAAGGAUGCCUGCAGUAUGAACUGGGGAUUCAGAACAGCCCACUUUGACUCACUGCUGGCAGCCAGAAGGAUGGAAGAGCCCCGCAUCACUGCACUUGGUGGGUUUCCCAGCUGCAAGAGGUGCCAAGGAGCCACUACAGCAAGAAUUUAACAUCCUCACCUUCUAUUCAGUGUCUGGUUGUACUGCAGUCAUAAAGCAGCUUUCCUGCAGUCAAAACCCAUGCCUGAAAUAUCAUGCGGCAAGCGUGUACCUCCAUCACAGCGGAUGCAGAUAUUUGGCUAAAGAGAAAACUGCUUCUUUUAAGCCAAAAAAUGCUUUCAUGUGAUCUCAUGGGCAAGUCCAAGACAACCACUCGUAUUUCAGACAUGAACAUAAGAAUGAGAUCAUCCCUUCCCUUCUCCUGCAUCACUCCACCCACAGCUGAGACUGGGAGAAAAGUCCACCCAUCCUUUGCAAGAUCUGGUGAUGCUUCCACCAAGAAUCAGCGUGAGGAACUGGGGGGCUCCCUUGGGAAUUCCAGGCUCUCAGGACCACGCUCGCCCAGAACCAACAGAAUGCUGAAACUCAGAGCUCCUGCUACCAGCCCCACGCCAACGAGGCCACCCCAGCUCCAUGGCUCAAUGUCCCCUCUCCCU